rnacentral:tRNA from 2 species
GCGCCUGUAGCUCAGGGGAUAGAGCACCGGUUUCCUAAACCGGGUGUCGGAGGUUCAAAUCCUUCCAGGCGCG